UACGUAGGCAGCAAGCGUUGUUCGGAGUUACUGGGCGUAAAGAGUGUGUAGGCGGUUUUCUAAGUUCGGUGUGAAAUCUCCCGGCUCAACCGGGAGGGUGCGCCGAAGACUGGGAGGCUUGAGUGCGGGAGAGGAAAGCGGAAUUCCUGGUGUAGCGGUGAAAUGCGUAGAUAUCAGGAGGAACACCUGCGGUGUAGACGGCUUUCUGGACCGUAACUGACGCUGAGACACGAAAGCGUGGGUAGCAAACAGG
rnacentral:misc_RNA from 1 species